UGGUUUUCAUUUGGAACAUAAACUUAUAUAGUUUUGAUUUCUUGUCUAAUUACAUCUUACCAGUUAAGUCACUAACUUCUGUUCCCUUGGUUUUGAAAUUGAUCCAAAUCACAAGGUUGGAGAUGAAAAGGAUAUUUCGAUCCUCAAGCGAAUUUUGAUUUGUAUAAAGAUCCAAACAAGGUCAGUAAACUCGAUCGAUCAUCUCAAUCAAUCAUGUUUCACUUUCCUAGUUACAUUUACAAUCAUUCUAAUCUAUUGCCUUUCAAAAGAUCGGCUGCAACUCAAAUAAAUCAGAAGCAUAUAUAGGAGCAUUCAUUACAUUCUUUUUUAGCUCAGGCAACACAUAAAUCAGCUGCCCAAAGUUCUAUGUGAAUCCUCGAUCACCAAUAUGUGAAAUAAGGCCAAUAUGAUAACUGUAACAUAGGGAUCUCGGGCUUCCAUAAAUAUAGUUUCUUAGGAAUCAACAUAUAUAUCAGACCUCAGGCUUGUUGACAGUACAUCUCAUGGAAAUGGAUUUGUCCCACUCCCACGAGUGAGGAUAGACUAGAAUAUUCUGCUUGAGAUUGAAAACAUAUAUUCUUUUGGCUUAAUUUUCUAGGGUUCUUCUUAGGAUGAAACAAUUUAGAGGUCAUAAUUGGACAGAAAGGACUAUCAUAGUGACCUCGACUACUGCGUUUUUAUAGUUUUCUCAUUACCAAUACCUUUUUUUUAUCUAUAAGAUAACAGCAAGAGAUAUACAGCUUCCCUAGCUCAUUGGAGGAUGCUACAAAUGUGUGAGACAAGUGGGAAGACAAAGAACAAACCUAGAAACCGGACUACAGGCAGGUCUUUCAUCAAGGAGGAAUAUAUAUAAAGGAACCAUUAUUAUUGGUGAACUGUGAUUGGAGUUCUAAGUUCUUCGCCUCCAUCGGUUUUGACAGCCCUUGUUUGUUGGCAUCAUGAAACCUGUCGUGGCAAGUUGCACUCAAAAUAUUGAGAGUUCCUACAUUGUAUAUUUAAUGAAGAAGCGCGAAGGACAGCAUGUGUUGACACUCCAUAUUCCAUGAGAGGGAGCCUUCCAUGUGAACCUAUUGGCAGGGUGUAAUAUAUACUGCCAACAAUUUCUGAGACACCUGCCGAAAGGCGACAAGUGUCCAUGUUCUUGCUAUAUACUACUAUUUACUUGGCCGGCCAUCAGACUGGUGGACUAGUGGUGAUGUACGUUAUGCAUGACAAUGUGUAGGUUGAACAUCACAUAUGCAUGGCAUGCUAUUUUUGUGGAUGUUGGCACAUACUGGGGACUGUGUAUGAACUAAACAUUGUACUGAUUGUUUCUUGUUUAGGUAUCUACCAACUAGAAACGAGCAAGCGACACACGGUACUGGCAAUUUACACAAUUGGCGGAAUACCUGAUGUGGCAGCUAGUUUAUACACACCAUGAAGGUUGGUAUUGCUUAUUUGCGAUGUGGUCAGCUAGUUCAUAAGCAAAGUACUAAUUAUCAUUUUGAAUAUCUAAUAUAUGCUUUCAAUGACGUUGAAGCCUUACCAAAAUGCAGGUCAUAUCAGGCCAAAUCAGAAGAAAAUGCAGAACAAUGAAAGUGAGGUGAAACGAAUGUCCAUUCAAUGACAACCAACCAGUAAAUCUCCGAUACGCAAAGUAAGUUUUCAAUGAAAUUUGUCUUCAUACGCGAGGACUCUUUUAAAUGAUUCUGAAGAAAUUGAUCAAAUGAGUUGAGUCCAACUUAUAUAUUAAUCAUGUGCAAAUGAGUGACAGCACUCAGAACCUGCAAAGUUGACUUAAUUUUGAGCAGGAGGGUAGGCCUAGUAGAGGUACUAGUCGAAUGCUACUGAGCAGUCACCUGUAGAAUAUUGAUGGGGCCUCAAAGGGAGAUGCAGGAGUUGCAGGGCGGGUACAGUCUAUAGGAAUAGUGUUGAGCAAGCAAAGGGUGUUACAUAGGAGACUUGGGCGUCAUCCAAGUCUGAGUCUAUCAUCCAAUUCUGCUGAAGUGAUGAGUUGCACUCGACUAUCAGGAACAAGUGGAUGAUAGAUUGACGAUCAAGAAAGGGCAAAGAAUACUAUCAGCAAAAUAGAAGGGGAAUUGAUUUGGCUACAGACUCGCGUUCGAACAGUUUCAACUUUCAAAUAGCUGUAGUGAAUCCACAUUUAAAUGACUGGAAUAGUCCUGGAUUGUCAGGACUCAUUUCGAUAUUUCAAGAUUUUCAUGGUAGGAGCAGCUGUCCAGAAAAGGGUACUUCUCUGCCAAAAACAUUUUACCAUAACUUAAAAGCACAAAACAGCGCAUCAAAGCAGAGAAUUA
rnacentral:lncRNA from 1 species